CGAUCAAUUCUUAUGCAUUUUGAUUGUAAGACGUUCUGAGUGCGGACUGAUUCGAGUCCUGUGGACUCCUGACCAAUGCACUCAAUGCCCAACGCGCUCAUCAUGGCUGCGCGCUGCGCCAAAGUCAGUGGGGUGUCCAGCUCUGUGGAGCACGCAAGUCAAGGAUCCGUUUUUGAUGGCCUACUAAUCUGUCUGCGCAAAGGCAUGCACACUAAUUCUCAACGCCACGUUGACUUCUGUGCUCCACAUGAGACGUGUGCCGCACCUGGGAACAUAUCUAGUCAUUAUUGGAAGUAGUGCAAUUUUACUUGUAUUUUUAUUUAAUUGUAAUGAGUCUCAUUUCAUCGAGAGUUUUAUCCUGUAGUAUUCCUUGCAUGCUGUAGUAAAUUACGCUUUCAAUUUUUUAGUGAUGGAAAACAAAGGAAAGGACGGCCCCAGCUAGGAAUGGCCAACUGACUAUUUUGACCCCAAAGCCAAAAUUUUACAUAGAACCAUCUCGAUGUCAAUUUGAUCAACCAAAGUCUGGCUAGGGCAGCCAUCCACGGGGCAUGGCAAAAGUUUUUCAUGACAGAUCUCCUGAAUGCGUGGGUGUGGUUAUAGUAUUAAUUUAUAUAUUUAUUUUAAGUUACUUCUAGAAAGGCAGUCAGUUUAGUUUCGUACUUUAGUUUCCGUACUUAAUUCUAUGGCGGAGUCUGCCCCUUUUCAAAAUUAUCAAACAUUGAGAACGUUGUGAAUGUUACAGUAAAACACAUCCAGAAUUUAAUUUGUUCGUAUCGAUUCAAUUCCGAGAUGCUAGAGUUUUCAGUUCGCCUGACGAAUGGGUGGCCUACCCGCAAGGCGCUCGGUCUCCCGCCUCCCGUACGCCACCGCCUGCCCCGACUCGCAUAGGCAACUCAUUCAACACUAAGUUCUCCGGGUCCAACGUCUACUAUUUAUUUUUCAAUAAGAACAUUGUUUUAAUUGUUAUUUAUGUAAAUUUGUGUAAAAUUGGUUGCUAAAGGAUGGCUGCAGGAGAGGAACCUGCUGCGUAUUAGAUGGCAGUUAUUGUGUGAGAGAUUUGCCAACACAAGCUUGAUUGCUGUACGCUUUGCAGCUAGAGAAACUUGAGGAGUCGUGGAAAUGGAGAGUAAAUAAAGGCCUGAGGGCAAAUUGGAA